CAAUAGCGUAUAUUAAAGUUGUUGCGGUUAAAAAGCUCGUAGUUGGAUUUCUGCCGAGGACGACCGGUCCGCCCUCUGGGUGAGUAUCUGGCUUGGCCUGGGCAUCUUCUUGGAGAACGUAGCUGCACUUGACUGUGUGGUGCGGUAUCCAGGACUUUUACUUUGAGGAAAUUAGAGUGUUUCAAGCAGGCAUGCGCCUUGAAUACAUUAGCAUGGAAUAAUAAGAUAGGACCUCGGUUCUAUUUUGUUGGUUUCUAGAGCUGAGGUAAUGAUUAAUAGGGAUAGUCGGGGGCGUCAGUAUUCAGCUGUCAGAGGUGAAAUUCUUGGAUUUGUUAAAGACGGACUGAUGCGAAAGCAUUCGCCAAGGAUGUUUUUCAUUAAUCAGGGAACGAAAGUUAGGGGAUCGAAGACGAUCAGAU
rnacentral:rRNA from 1 species